rnacentral:tRNA from 1 species
GAGGUUCUAGCUUAAUUAAAGCUUCUGGCUUGCAUUCAGAAGAUGCAGGGUAAUAUCUUGCGAACCUUA